GCCCGGAGGUCCCGGCCCGCCGCCGCCGCCGCCAGGGGCCGGGGCGGGGGCCAGGCGCAGGCCCUUCGCGACCCGGGAGGCCAGUGCUGUCCAUCGCCUGAGGCCCUGGUGGCAUCCAGAAGGCGCCAGCUCGGGUGAUUCUGGUCACUGCCCUCUCGGGUUGCUGGUGGAGAGACUUGUGUUUAUAAAAUAGCUCGCCCUUCUCUUCCCUACCUACCCAAGUCCUUGUGGCUUUCACUCCCACAUUCUGCUUCCGACACCCCGCCCCGCAGGUCCAUUUACAGACCUCCUCCUUUUUGGUUGGACUGACCUCCAGCAAAGGGUUUGCAAGCCCCCCAACACUGCCACUGGCUGCGGGGAGGCCACAGGACUUAGGGCUACAUCCUCUGGGAGCCUGUGAGUGAGGAAAGGCAGAUGUCCGUUUUACAGAGGAAGAAACCGAGGCACAGAUGAAUGAAUGACCGAUGUGGGCCCACACUCCCAGGACAUCACCCUGUGACAAGGCAGAGGGAAAUGCACCCCCCGAGGCCCCUCUCCCACGUGAAGAGACUUGCUCCUCCAGAAAUGCCCCAGGGAACAUCCACUGAUACAGGGCUGACUGGAGCACAGCACCACACCGUUGGAGACCGUAUGGAAGAAACCGUGGAAACGUGUCAGUGAUUGAGUGAGUUCAGGCAAUGCCAGUGGCUACAACAAACGAGCCCUGAGAUGUGGAAUCGCUUCCACACGCAGGAAGUUCGUUUCUCACUCCCAGGCCAGGGUGGGUGUUAGCGGCCGGCAGGCCACUCUGCUCCAAGUGAGGACUCGGGGACACAGGCUCUUUCCAUGCACGCGGGUCCACCACGUUGGCCCUGUGCUUCCAGGGUGUCUGGGUUCCUGCCCGAGGACGGGAGGGGGCGUGGAGAAGCCCGUGCAGAACCCCUUGGGUGGUUUUUCUGGUUCAGGCCCGGAGCUGGCUCACAACACGUGCACUCACAUUCUGUUGGU